rnacentral:rRNA from 1 species
AUUGAACGCUAGCGGGAGGCUUUACACAUGCAAGUCGAACGGAGUGGCGGACGGGUGAGGAAUAUAUGGGAACGUGCCCAGUAGCGGGGGAUAACUACUCGAAAGAGUGGCUAAUACCGCAAACUUUUGGUGCGGCCGAAAUGGGAUGAGCUAGUUGGUGGGGUAAAGGCUCACCAAGGCAACGAUCCUUAGCUGGUUUGAGAGGACGACCAGCCACACUGGGACUGAGACACGGUCCAGACUCCUACGGGAGGCAGCAGUGGGGAAUUUUGGACAAUGGGGGCAACCCUGAUCCAGCCAUCCCGCGUGUAUGAUGAAGGCCUUCGGGUUGUAAAGUACUUUCGGCAGAGAGGCGGUAUCUGCAGAAUAAGCACCGGCUAACUCCGUGCCAGCAGCCGCGGUAAUAC